GACGAACGCUGGCGGCGUGCUUAACACAUGCAAGUCGAACGGUGAAGGGGCCUGCUUUUGUGGGCCCUGGAUGAGUGGCGAACGGGUGAGUAACACGUGAGUAACCUGCCCCCUUCUUCUGGAUAACCGCAUGAAAGUGUGGCUAAUACGGGAUAUUCUGGGUCUGUCGCAUGAUGGGUCUGGGAAAGAUUGCGCCUUUGGGUGUUUUUGGUGGGGGAUGGGCUCGCGGCCUAUCAGCUUGUUGGUGGGGUGAUGGCCUACCAAGGCGGUGACGGGUAGCCGGCCUGAGAGGGUGGACGGUCACACUGGGACUGAGACACGGCCCAGACUCCUACGGGAGGCAGCAGUGGGGAAUAUUGCACAAUGGGCGCAAGCCUGAUGCAGCGACGCCGCGUGAGGGAUGGAGGCCUUCGGGUUGUAAACCUCUUUCGCCAGUGAAGCAGGCCUGCUCCUUGUGGGUGGGUUGACGGUAGCUGGAUAAGAAGCGCCGGCUAACUACGUGC
rnacentral:rRNA from 1 species